GUGGGGAAUAUUGGACAAUGGGCGCAAGCCUGAUCCAGCCAUGCCGCGUGAGUGAUGAAGGCCCUAGGGUUGUAAAGCUCUUUCACCGGUGAAGAUAAUGACGGUAACCGGAGAAGAAGCCCCGGCUAACUUCGUGCCAGCAGCCGCGGUAAUACGAAGGGGGCUAGCGUUGUUCGGAAUUACUGGGCGUAAAGCGCACGUAGGCGGGUAUUUAAGUCAGGGGUGAAAUCCCAGAGCUCAACUCUGGAACUGCCUUUGAUACUGGGUACCUAGAGUAUGGAAGAGGUAAGUGGAAUUCCGAGUGUAGAGGUGAAAUUCGUAGAUAUUCGGAGGAACACCAGUGGCGAAGGCGGCUCACUGGUCCAUUACUGACGCUGAGGUGCGAAAGCGUGGGGAGCAAACAGGAUUAGAAACCCUAGUAGUCC
rnacentral:rRNA from 1 species